AGUGAACGCUGGCGGUAGGCCUAACACAUGCAAGUCGAACGGCAGCACAGUAAGAGCUUGCUCUUACGGGUUGCUAGUGGCGGACGGGUGAGGAAUACAUCGGAAUCUACUUUUUCGUGGGGGAUAACGUAGGGAAACUUACGCUAAUACCUCAUACUACCUACGGGUGAAAGCAUGGUAUCUUCGGACCUUGCGCGAUUUAAUGAGCCGAUGUCGGAUUAGCUAGUUGGCGGGGUAAAGGCCCACCAAGGCGACGAUCCGUAGCUGGUCUGAGAGGAUGAUGAGCAAAACUGGAACUGAGACACGGUCAAGACUCCUACGGGAGGAAGAAGUGGGGAAUAUUGGAAAAUGGGCGAAAGCCUGAUCAAGAAAUACCGCGUGGGUGAAGAAGGCCUUCGGGUUGAAAAGCCCGUUUGUUGGGAAAGAAAAGCAGCAGGGUAAUAACCCGAUGUUCUGACGGUACCCAAAGAAUAAGCAACGGCUAACUUCGUG
rnacentral:rRNA from 1 species